GUGGAAUAGAGUUACGCAGGGCUCGAUGCCUGCAUAAGAGUAGCUCUUUACUCAUCUGUUUAUUUAAAUCUCGAAGAGUCAAAAAAUGAAUUUUUAUGAAGCUAUUUGGCUCGAGUGGACGAAGCAAUAAUGGAAGUGAACUUGUGAUAUGGUGAAGUACUCCUAGACAGGAGAAGAGGAAUAAUUUGAUAACGCCACAACAAGGAAAAAAAACCUAGGUUAGGCAUUGGUGUAAUGGCGGGAUGCUUUAUCUCAGGUUUUGGUUUCAAUUUUUCA